AGAAAGGAAGGACUUAUUGUCUUAGUUACUUGAUCCACUUCCUUACCUCCUGUUCAUGCAACUUUGCUUGUUUUGCUUCUACUAAAAUGGUUCUAGGUGCUGUGUGGACAGGUGAUACAAAAGCCUGACUCACACGGUUGACAUUCAUUCAUUCCAUUUUCAUUUCUCUUUGAGUGAUCCUGACAAGCAGAGGGUCUCAGGUGGAUAUUACUGUGUCUUUGAGACCUCUCUAAUCCUUAUCUAUCUCUCAUUUUAAUACAGAGAGUUUCAUACGCAGACCUUAAGUAGACAUAGUAUCCAGCUAAAAGGGUCUCACUCUGUCACCCAGGCUGGAGUGCAGUGGCGCAGUCAUGGCUCCCUGUAACCUCAACCUCUCAGACUCCAGCAAUCCUCCUGCGACAGCGAAGUUAAUCUUCUGGUUCGGUUCACAAAGUGCAGGAGAGCCUACCAGCUUGAGAGAAAAGGAGUCAUGCUGUAUUUGUUUCCUUGAGUGAAUGGCCACUCAGCUGCUGUGUUUCUCCCUGCAUGUGGCUGAAGUUUACA
ensembl:lncRNA CDH13-AS2 CDH13 antisense RNA 2